UGAACUGAAACUAAGGCUGCUUCCAGAGACCGCAAGGAAACCUCAACAAGAGAAAAUUACAUUUUAGAGGAGAAUAUUACACUCUUUAUUGAUGAUUUCACUAUCUCCAGACAGAAGUCCCCCAAAUCUACAUAUCGAGCCCUCCUCAGUCCCUUCUGAGCUUAUCCUGAAGGAAGAAAACUAUCUAUAAUGAGUUCCUUUCGUAUGAUCCCAAAAUUACUUCCUAUCAAGAUAAAAUUGCAACAGUUUCAGGAAAUGUUCUAAAGCCAAUAUACUCUUCUGAAUUUAAGCUUUAAGAAGUGAUCCAAGGUCUAAAACAUUAUCUUAUGAAUACCAGAUUCAAGAACCAACAGCCUCUAAUAGCUCCCUGCUACUGUAAUGUCCUACUCAACUCUCUGGCAUCUGAGCAGAAGUAUCCAUGAGGUAGGAUUAGAAAUGAGAGAAGAAAUCUCCUAGAAUGAACUAUCUGAGGUCGGUUCCAGCUUUAGGCUUAAAAUCUCAUGGUUUUUCUGAAUAAUAAAAUAGUUUUUCAGAACAAUAAAAGUUGAGAAUUUAAAAUCUA